rnacentral:sRNA from 1 species
GAACAACCAGCUCGCAUUUGAUGUGGCUGAGCGAGAGUUUGGGAUCCCUCCAGUGACCACGGGCAAAGAGAUGGCGUCUGCCCAGGAGCCUGACAAGCUCAGCAUGGUCAUGUACCUCUCCAAGUUCUACGAGCUCUUCCGGGGCACCCCACUGAGGCCCGUAGAUUCUUGGCGCAAAAACUAUGGAGAAAAUGCUGACCUCAGCUUGGCCAAAUCAUCCAUUUCUAAUAACUAUCUCAACCUUACAUUUCCAAGGAAGAGGACUCCACGAGUGGAUGGUCAAACCGGAGAGAAUGACAUGAACAAACGGAGGCGGAAGGGCUUCAAUAACCUGGACGAGCCUUCAAACUUUUCCAGCCUUAGCUUGGGCUCCAAUCAAGAGUGUGGGAGCAGUAAGGAAGGCGGAAAUCAGAAUAAAGUCAAGUCCAUGGCGAAUCAGCUGCUGGCCAAGUUUGAGGAGAGCACUCGGAACCCCUCACUCAUGAAGCAGAAUAAACUACCCUCUAAAGGCCUGUCUCAUACUCAUCCUUCGUCUCCU